rnacentral:rRNA from 1 species
UACGUAGGGUGCGAGCGUUAAUCGGAAUUACUGGGCGUAAAGCGUGCGUAGGCGGUCCGCUAAGUCUGAUGUGAAAGCCCCGGGCUCAACCUGGGAACUGCAUUGGAAACUAACGGGCUCGAGUGUGGCAGAGGGGGGUGGAAUUCCACGUGUAGCGGUGAAAUGCGUAGAGAUGUGGAGGAACACCGAUGGCGAAGGCAGCCUUCUGGGCCAACACUGACGCUCAUGCACGAAAGCGUGGGGAGCAAACAGG